CCAUUAUUCUCUCUUGGUAAUUUAUUUAUGCACUCUCAUUAUUUCUCAUGCUCCAAUUACCCAAGUUAUCCUCCUCUCGCUAAUCCUUUCAUCUUCCUCUUAGGGUCUAUAAAUCUAUAAACCAAUCUCGAAAUAACAACACAAGCAGAGGAAAAAAAAAUCUUAGAGAGUACGAGAUGAAGGUGUAUGUGGAGACGGUCCCCAACUACAUUGACACAGAGAAAUAACAUUUUUUAAGGAGAGUUUCAACGAUUUGGAGUUUCGAAGCUCCAAUCUUCAUGGAAUGUUAGAGGUGGAUGGAGCAGAAUGUGUGCCAAUGGAUAAAAUGGAGUUUGGUCUGACACAUCAAUCAAAGACGCCUCAAGAUGUUGGUGACAUAUUUAGUUGUAAGGGAAGCACGUGUUGGAUCUAUAGCUCGAUUAUUAGACUUGCUCUCAAGAACUCUUCAAUCUUCAAAGACAUCUCAAGACGUUGGUUAUAUAUUCGAGUUGCAAGAGAAGCAYUUGUUGGAUCUAUAUUGGGUUCCUAUACUUGUGAUAAUACAAUUUCACUUUGUAACGAAGUUAAUAAAAGUAUUGGUUAAUCAAAUAUCAAGGGAUCCACGAGAACCUCUCACCACUCAAAACAGACAGCAAGCAUAAAGGUAAAAAACACAGAGCAAAGGAGAAGAAGAACACAGGAUUUAUAGUGGUUUGACAAUGAGGCCYACAUCCACUAUUGAGAGCAGAUUCUCAUUCACUAUUGAACUGAAGAUACAAAGAUGAAAGCCACACUUACAAACRGAACUUUUCAAGGGACAUGCAUGCCAGUGAGUUUAGAGCAAUGAUCGAAUUUGCUUUGUACAACUGGCUUUGUUAGCAUAUCUGCGGUGUUCUCAGCGGUGGAGAUCAGGUUCACAGUGAUGGUGAUGGUGAUGGUGCAAGGGAGACUCGAGAAGAAGGACCAUAGCUAACUUCCGAUUAGUUUUAACUUGUCUAAAAUAGGUAUUUAGGAGUUCUUGAUGGUUUAGUUUAUUUCUAUGUUUUGUGCAUUGACUUGUGUAAAGUUCAGGGGUUGGUAUAAUGUUUUAGACGACUUUUCUUUUAAGUAUGGACUCCUAUAAAGAUUAUGUCAUUAGUUUCAUUGAGAAGCUUAGGGACUAUGUUUAAUGUUGUUAAAUUUGCUAACUUUUAAAGAU